UACGAAGGGGGCUAGCGUUGCUCGGAAUCACUGGGCGUAAAGCGCACGUAGGCGGACUCUUAAGUCGGUGGUGAAAUCCUGGAGCUCAACUCCAGAACUGCCUUCGAUACUGAGAGUCUCGAGUCCGGGAGAGGUGAGUGGAACUGCGAGUGUAGAGGUGAAAUUCGUAGAUAUUCGCAAGAACACCAGUGGCGAAGGCGGCCAACUGGUCCGGUACUGACGCUGAGGUGCGAAAAGCGUGGGGAGCAAACAGGG
rnacentral:rRNA from 1 species